GUAGGUAUAGUUUAACAAAAACUUUAGAUUGUGAUUCUAACAACAGAGGUUAAAACCCUCUUACCCACC
rnacentral:tRNA from 1 species